ACACAUGCAAGUCGGACGGCAGCACAGAGAAGCUUGCUUCUUGGGUGGCGAGUGGCGAACGGGUGAGUAACAUAUCGGAACGUACCGAGUAAUGGGGGGAUAACUAAUCGAAAGAUUAGCUAAUACCGCAUAUUCUCUGAGGAGGGAAAGCAGGGGACCUUCGGGCCUUGCGUUAUUCGAGCGGCCGAUAUCUGAUUAGCUAGUUGGUGGGGUAAAGGCCUACCAAGGCGACGAUCAGUAGCGGGUCUGAGAGGAUGAUCCGCCACACUGGGACUGAGACACGGCCCAGACUCCUACGGGAGGCAGCAGUGGGGAAUUUUGGACAAUGGGCGCAAGCCUGAUCCAGCCAUGCCGCGUGUCUGAAGAAGGCCUUCGGGUUGUAAAGGACUUUUGUCAGGGAAGAAAAGGCUGUUGCUAAUAUCGACAGCUGAUGACGGUACCUGAAGAAUAAGCACCGGCUAACUACGUG
rnacentral:rRNA from 1 species